AACGAACGCUGGCGGCAGGCUUAACACAUGCAAGUCGAACGCCCCGCAAGGGGAGUGGCGGACGGGUGAGUAACGCGUGGGAACGUGCCUCGAGGUUCGGAAUAACCGAGGGAAACUUCGGCUAAUACCGGAUGAGCCCGAAAGGGGAAAGAUUCAUCGCCUUGAGAGCGGCCCGCGUUGGAUUAGCUAGUUGGUGGGGUAACGGCCACCAAGGCUUCGAUCCAUAGCUGGUCUGAGAGGACGACCAGCCACACUGGGACUGAGACACGGCCCAGACUCCUACGGGAGGCAGCAGUGGGGAAUCUUGGACAAUGGGGGCAACCCUGAUCCAGCCAUGCCGCGUGGGUGAUGAAGGUCUUCGAUUGUAAAACCCUUUUGGCGGGACGAUAAUGACGGUACCCGCAGAAGAAGCUCCGGCUAACUUCGUGCCA
rnacentral:rRNA from 1 species